rnacentral:rRNA from 1 species
AGCGAACGCUGGCGGCAGGCCUAACACAUGCAAGUCGAACGAAGUCUUCGGACUUAGUGGCGGACGGGUGAGUAACACGUGGGAACGUGCCUUUAGGUUCGGAAUAACUCAGGGAAACUUGUGCUAAUACCGAAUGCGCCCUUCGGGGGAAAGAUUUAUCGCCUUUAGAGCGGCCCGCGUCUGAUUAGCUAGUUGGUGAGGUAAAGGCUCACCAAGGCGACGAUCAGUAGCUGGUCUGAGAGGAUGAUCAGCCACAUUGGGACUGAGACACGGCCCAAACUCCUACGGGAGGCAGCAGUGGGGAAUCUUGCGCAAUGGGCGAAAGCCUGACGCAGCCAUGCCGCGUGAAUGAUGAAGGUCUUAGGAUUGUAAAAUUCUCUCACCGGGGACGAUAAUGACGGUACCCGGAGAAGAGGCCCCGGCUAACUUCGUGCCAGCCGCCGCCGUAAGAC